rnacentral:rRNA from 1 species
CUACGGGCGGCUGCAGUGGGGAAUUUUGCGCAAUGGGCGAAAGCCUGACGCAGCAAUACCGCGUGAGUGAAGAAGGCCUUUGGGUCGUAAAGCUCCUUUCUGGGGGAAGAUAGUGACGGUACCCCAGGAAUAAGCACCGGCUAACUCCGUGCCAGCAGCCGCGGUAAUACGGAGGGUGCAAGCGUUGUUCGGAUUUACUGGGCGUAAAGGGCACGUAGGCGGCACAGCAAGUUAAGGGUGAAAUCCCGGGGCUCAACUCCGGAACUGCUCUUAAAACUGCUGAGCUAGAGAUGGUCAGAGGCGGGUAGAAUUCCUGGUGUAGAGGUGAAAUUCGUAGAUAUCAGGAGGAAUACCGGUGGCGAAGGCGGCCCGCUGGGGCCAUUCUGACGCUAAGGUGCGAAAGCGUGGGGAGCGAACGGGAUUAGAUACCCCGGUAGUC